GGAAACCGGAGCUAAUACCGGAUAAUAUAUUGAACCGCAUGGUUCAAUAGUGAAAGACGGUUUUGCUGCCACUUAUAGAUGGAUCCGCGCCGCAUUAGCUGGUUGGUAAGGUAACGGCUUACCAAGGCGACGAUGCGUAGCCGAACUGAGAGGGUGAUCGGCCACACUGGAACUGAGACACGGUCCAG
rnacentral:rRNA from 1 species